UACGAGUGCUCCAAGCGUUAUCCGGAAUUAUUGGGCGUAAAGAGCUCGUAGGCGGUUUGUCGCGUCUGCUGUGAAAACCCAGGGCUUAACCCUGGGCCUGCAGUGGGUACGGGCAAACUAGAGUGCGGUAGGGGAGAUCGGAAUUCCUGGUGUAGCGGUGAAAUGCGCAGAUAUCAGGAGGAACACCGGUGGCGAAGGCGGAUCUCUGGGCCGUAACUGACGCUGAGGAGCGAAAGCAUGGGUAGCGAACAGG
rnacentral:rRNA from 1 species